UACGUAGGGGGCGAGCGUUGUCCGGAUUUAUUGGGCGUAAAGAGCUCGUAGGCGGCUUGGCAAGUCGGGUGUGAAACCUCCAGGCUCAACCUGGAGACGCCACUCGAUACUGCUAUGGCUAGAGUCCGGUAGGGGACCACGGAAUUCCUGGUGUAGCGGUGAAAUGCGCAGAUAUCAGGAGGAACACCGAUGGCGAAGGCAGUGAUCUGGGCCGGUACUGACGCUGAGGAGCGAAAGCGUGGGUAGCAAACAGG
rnacentral:rRNA from 1 species